UACGGGGGGUGCGAGCGUUGUCCGGAAUCACUGGGCGUAAAGGGCGCGUAGGUGGCCUGAUAAGGGUGUGGUGAAAGUCCGGGGCUCAACCCCGGAUCUGCCGUGCCGACUGUUAGGCUAGAGUACUGUAGGGGCAGGCGGAAUUCCGGGUGUAGCGGUGGAAUGCGUAGAGAUCCGGAGGAAGACCGGUGGCGAAGGCGGCCUGCUGGGCAGUUACUGACACUGAGGCGCGACAGCGUGGGGAGCAAACAGGG
rnacentral:rRNA from 1 species